rnacentral:rRNA from 1 species
GUGGGGAAUCUUCCGCAAUGGACGAAAGUCUGACGGAGCAACGCCGCGUGAGUGAAGAAGGUUUUCGGAUCGUAAAGCUCUUUCGUUAGGGACGAACGUGCUCUUUGUGAAUAAUGAGGAGUAAUGACGGUACCUAAAUAAGAAGCCACGGCUAACUACGUGCCAGCAGCCGCGGUAAUACGUAGGUGGCAAGCGUUGUCCGGAAUUAUUGGGCGGAAAGCGCGCGCAGGCGGGAUAUCAAGUCUGUCUUAAAAGUGCGAGGCUCAACCUCGUGAGGGGACAGAAACUGGUAUUCUUGAGUGUCGGAGAGGAAAGUGGAAUUCCAAGUGUAGCGGUGAAAUGCGUAGAGAUUUGGAAGAACACCAGUGGCGAAGGCGACUUUCUGGACGAUGUCUGACGCUGAGGCGCGAAAGCUAGGGGAGCGAACGGGAUUAGAUACCCCUGUAGUCC